rnacentral:rRNA from 1 species
GAUUAUGGCUCAGGAUGAACGCUAGCUACAGGCUUAACACAUGCAGGUCGAGGGGCAGCAUAACGAAAGCUUGCUUUGUGGUGGCGACCGGCGCACGGGUGAGUAACGCGUAUCCAACCUUCCCUAUAGUAGAGAAUAGCCCGGCGAAAGUCGGAUUAAUGCUCUAUGUUCUUCUUUGAUGGCAUCUGACGAGAAGCAAAGGUUCACCGCUAUAGGAUGGGGGAUGCGUCUGAUUAGGUAGUCGGCGGGGUAACGGCCCACCGAGCCAACGAUCAGUAGGGGUUCUGAGAGGAAGGUCCCCCACAUUGGUACUGAGACACGGACCAAACUCCUACGGGAGGCAGCAGUGAGGAAUAUUGGUCAAUGGGCGAGAGCCUGAACCAGCCAAGUAGCGUGCCAGGACGACUGCCCUAUGGGUUGUAAACUGCUUUUAUGCGGGAAUAAAGUCCACUACGUGUAGUGGUUUGUAUGUACCGCAUGAAUAAGGACCGGCUAAUUCCGUGCCAGCCGCUGC